AUACGAGUUUGAUCAUGGCUCAGAUUGAACGCUGGCGGAAUGCUUUACACAUGCAAGUCGAACGGCAGCACGGGGGCAACCCUGGUGGCGAGUGGCGAACGGGUGAGUAAUACAUCGGAACGUGCCCAGUCGUGGGGGAUAACGUAGCGAAAGCUACGCUAAUACCGCAUACGAUCUACGGAUGAAAGCGGGGGAUCGCAAGACCUCGCGCGAUUGGAGCGGCCGAUGGCAGAUUAGGUAGUUGGUGGGGUAAAGGCUCACCAAGCCUUCGAUCUGUAGCUGGUCUGAGAGGACGACCAGCCACACUGGGACUGAGACGCGGCCCAGACUCCUACGGGAGGCAGCAGUGGGGAAUUUUGGACAAUGGGCGAAAGCCUGAUCCAGCCAUUCCGCGUGCAGGAUGAAGGCCCUCGGGUUGUAAACUGCUUUUGUACGGAACGAAACGGCCUUUUCUAAUACAGAGGGCUAAUGACGGUACCGUAAGAAUAAGCACCGGCUAACUACGUG
rnacentral:rRNA from 1 species